UCAAAAACAUCGCCUCCUGACAAACCAAACAUAGGAGGUCCAGCCUGCCCAGUGACAAUAGUUUAACGGCCGCGGUAUUUUGACCGUGCAAAGGUAGCGCAAUCACUCGUCCUUUAAAUAGGGACCUGUAUGAAUGGCUAAACGAGGGCUUAACUGUCUCCCCCCUCUAGUCAGUGAAAUUGAUCUAUCCGUGCAGAAGCGGAUAUAAUAAUACAAGACGAGAAGACCCUUUGGAGCUUAAGGUACAAGAUUUAAAUCACAUUCAAGCAAGCCAAUAAAAGCAACUAACCCAUUGAACGAUAAACCUUUACCUUCGGUUGGGGCGACCACGGAGUAAAAGAAAACCUCCAAGAGGAGCGGGUAAAACCCUAAAACUAAGAGAAACAUCUCUAAGCCUCAGAACAUCUGACCACAAAUGAUCCGGCCUUUAAGCCGAUCAACGAACCAAGUUACCCUAGGGAUAACAGCGCAAUCCUCUCUAAGAGUCCAUAUCGACGAGGGGGUUUACGACCUCGAUGUUGGAUCAGGACAUCCUAAUGGUGCAGCCGCUAUUAAGGGUUCGUUUGUUCAACGAUUAACA
rnacentral:rRNA from 1 species